ensembl:lncRNA
UGUGUGUGUGUGUUUGCAGUGGUAGGUUUUCCUUUUUUUCUUUUUUUCUUUCUUUUUUUUUCCCUUCUGGUUUUGCUGGGUUGCUGCCAAACCUUUCCUUUUGGCUAUAUUUUUUUUUAAGAUGUAUUUUUUUCCACGAGUGGCUUAGAGUUGUAACUUAUCCCGGUUAAAGCCGCGGAGAGGUCCUGUUCUCAGAGAGAACGUUUCACUCGGCUGAGGAAAACGGAGGAGAGGGAGAGAAAGGAGCACGGGGUGGGUCAGGAGAGUGGUAGCGGGUGGUAGGGAAGUCUGUGGUCCUUCAGGUCUUAUGUGUAUCUUGACAGGGUGACAAGGCAGCAAAGAGUUGGGCCCAAGAGGAAUGAAUUAGCUGUGAAACGCUUGUGAGGGGUUACAGAAACACAGAGCUGCGCUGUGCUGGAAGCUCUGGGGGGGGUCUGAAGUUGCUCUCCCUGUGCCAUCAGGAAUCAAUCCCAGGCUGCUUCAGCACUGUUCUCUGACAGGGUCGGGAAGGUAUGGAGGCUCUUGUGCAGCUCUGCUGCUUGGCAGACCUUCCUCUGCGGAAGAUGGAUGGUGUGAGUGGUCAGGUGGGAGCACAACCCCUGCAUUGCCUUCCUGGAACGCUUUUCUGGCACUGCCUUUGGGGAGGAGCGAGGCCAAUGCUUGAUGACCACACAGGGAGCUUGUGCAGUGUGUGGUGGCACAAAGGGUUGCCCUUUUGCUGCAAGGCUGUGAGGAGAGAGGUUGGGUGGUGAUGUAGGUGCUGUGCAGGUGGCAAAUGGCUUGCAGGCAAAGAGAUGCUUUGCAUCCUCUUGCAGCUUAUGGUUCACAAUUGCCCAUAGUGCUCCACUCUCUGUUAGAAGAGAGCAAUGGGGCAAUGUGCUGCCCUGGAGCUUCCAGGGCAAGGCUGUUCAGGAAGCUUUCCCAACUUUACAGAAGUGUUUCCAGGCAAACAACUUCCACUUCUCCUGGGAUGCCCCCUCUGAAGCAGUGUGCCUUGGUUCCUUCCUGUUAACUCUGAGUUGGUUUAGAAAUCUGGCAUUCACUUUUCUUCCUGUGAUAAGGUAUUUUAAAACUGGAAACAAAAGAUGCUUCAGUCUCACUUUAUGCCAUUCUGCGUUCAAACUGCUCUUUGCAGCCCCUGCCUGUUUCACACGUCCUUCAGCCCUGGCCUUUGGCAUCUAACGCAGAGCAGAAUCACUCCUGGGGCUCUAAACCUUCCUUAACUGCUGAGAAACCACUGUGCUGCAUCUGCCCGCUGCCUGCGUUCAGCCCUUUGCCUCUGCUUCCCCGCCGCCUCCUCCUCCUCUUCUUCCAGCAGAUAAUGGGAUGACAGUCCUGUUGCACAGGGCACGAAAAGGCAAUCAUUGCUCUCCAGCAGUGCUUUCUAAGGCAGAAGCGGUGCAGAGUGGGGCUCGAGGAGAAUGUGGGAGAGGCAGUGCAGCAGGCAGGGGGACUGGCCCCAUGUCCCUUCAGGCACAAAGGGGCUGCUUGUGGUGCUGUGGGGUAGUGAUAUUGAUGGCCCCCACCUGCUUUUUUAAGAAUAUGUACGUAGUUUAGAACAAACGCAAGCUUAUUUCCCUAGCAGGUUGUAUUGAGAAAUGCGAGCAGGACAGCAGAGUCCAGAUUACUUCUGCAACCCAGACAGGAAACGGAAUACCACAAGCAGCAAUUUUGAGCAUGUUCUUUUGAGGUUUCUUGCUUUUGUUCGUUCAUUAUGUCUUUUCCUGUUGGUUUCUAAGUGUAGUUUUGUGCUUAUAAAUGAUGCUGAGCCCAGAUUGUUGGUAAAAGGAGAGGAGGAGCUGCUUCCCACCAUCCCUGGAGCCUGUCCUCAUGCGGGAUGCUGCCCCAGACCCUUCCUUGGGGAACACCGUGACAGCCAAGCACUGCGGGGUGGCUGUGAAGCAGGAGGUGAGCUGGUGUCCAGCCUCACGCCUGCUGUCCCUCCUCAUUGUGGGGCUGGGAGAGCAUUCAUCUCUUGGACUUCCAACCAAGUGUGAAAAUUCACAGGUCAGGGGGUGGAAAAAAGGCCGCUAUUAGUGUUAUUUUAAGCACGAGGGAAUGAAUUGGUGAGUGCUGGGAGCAAUAUGGAAAAGCAAGAGAGGCAGUGCCUCUUCGCAGCCCCUUCACGGGGCGGUGAUGCCGAGGAGAGGGGAUCGCUGCCCGAUUUGAAAGAGAAUAGGGCCAUGACCAAUCGCUGUGAAAUGUGGCAAUAAUGCCUUCCGCAGUGGCCGUGGGAUAAAAGGCAGGGACAGCCUGAACUGUAAAGAUGUUUCAUUUCCCUGGUAAUGAGGGAGACACACUGUGGCAAUGGAACCAGAGAGAGAGAGACCGUGAGAUGCUAAUUUCUGCUCCUGUUGCCGCUGCAGCUUUGAUCUGAAGCAAAUGCCCGUUUUAAAUUGCAAACGGAUGCAAGUCAGAUAUCAUCCAGCCACUGGCUUACAGGCUUAAUGAAGUGGGACGCACGCCUCGGCCUGAUAAUGUUCCGAGAGGCAGGCGACUGGGAGAGGAAUUACUGAGGGUCUGAGGAGACGGGAGGAAGGCUGAGGAUGUCAUGGGGGAAAUCAUCACCGGGGGCACAAAGCCUCCUACUUGGUGUUCUUGGCGAGUUGUGGCUGAGCCCCUCAUCCUCUGUGCCAACAGAAAAGAUGUGAGCGUGCUGCCCUGCUGUUAUGUGUCCUGUGUUUUGAGGCAUCUUGAACAGGCCGCCGAGGUUAUGGUGCUCUUUGCUCUCAGAGUGCGGACAUCACCAGGUAAGGCAAACUUAGAAAUUGUAACCAGCUCAUUUUGUGCCAUCGUUUGGGCACUUAAUCGGACUUUAGAAAGACAACAUGCGUUGAGACUCUGCUGAUAAGACUGCUCUGGGGCAGACCCAGAAGCCCUGGGGAACAAGUUCACCGUGCCAGCAGUGAUAUGGAAUAAUGGUAGCUCACACUGGACAACCUCAUCUUGAGUCUCGUGCGAAGAUCUACCUGUUUUAAAGAAUUAAUAUUGGAAGGGAUAGAAUCACAAAGUUAUUAAAGUUAGAAAAGGCUGCUCAGAUGACCCAGUCCAACCACCAGCCCAUCCCCACCAUGCCCACUAACCACGUCCCUCAGUGCCACAGCCACACAGUUCUUGAGCACCUCCAGGGAUGGUGACUCCACCACCUCUAUGGGCAGCCUGUGCCACUGCACCGAGAAGAAAUGUUUCCUAAUUUCCAACCUGAACGUCCUCUGGUGCAACAUGAGGCCAUUCCCUCUCAUUCUAUCACUGGUUAGAUAUUUAUUACACUUUUCAAUAAGGCGAGGAACUUGAGUCCUACUGUCAAGCCAGUUUGUUAUGUACCUGGAGUACUUCCUUGCACAAGAGCAAUGGGAUACAGAAGAAUCUAACUGGAGGUAGGUAGUCUCAUCACCCAGGCAUUUUUAUAUUCUUAUUCUACGUUUACGUUGUAGCUUUGCAUAUAACUGCAGAAGAUGCAAAAAGAAGCACGUGCGUCCUCACACCCUCUCUUUCUUUCCCACUACCCCACAAGGCUUUUGUUUCCGACAAUGCUUUCAGAUGACUUCCCCUUUGGUAGAGUAAAUCACGUUAAUCUGAAGAAUGCUAGGCAAGAUGAAGUUUUUAGAUUACGCUUUAUUUUUCUACGGUGUUUUGCAUUUAAGGACAUCACACCAUCACAAUGCGUAGUUGAGAAUUUUCUCUGCUUGACAAAUGAGGGAGCUUAGAUGCAGCAGUUUGCUAUGAAACAGUGAGGAGAGAAAAAAUAAAUCAGAAAUCUCCUCUAGAGAAGGAGACAGGAAGAAAAGCUGACUCCAAUACUGAGAAUUAAAGAGAAAAAUCUCUGCUGGACCCAAAAUAAGUCUCCAUAGAAACAGCUUUUUCUGAAAAUGAAUUACUGCAGUAUGAAAUGAAGAUUGUGGAUCUAGUUCUGCAAAAUAUUUAAGCAUGUUCUUUGCUUAUCCCUAUUCAGCUCAAGAUGCAAGCAUGAGAUUUCCAUGGGUGCUUAUGUACCUUAUUUGAUGGAGGUAGGAACAUGAACAAGCAUUGUUGAAUGGAGGUCUGGGCUUUCUUGUGCUUCCUCACGGCUGACCAACUUACAACUUAUUUUUUAAUGCCAACACGUGUUGCUUGGCUGCUAAAAUUACAGACAGCAGCACAUAGACUACAGUGCCUCAUUUUUGGAGUUCAGCGCAAGGUUCCAGUAGAUUCUUCUCAUUAACAGGGAGUGGAGUCAACAGAGUGUUUACAUUGCUGGGUACUUUACUGUUCUGUUAAUUAACUCUUGUUGCAUUUGCCUGCAGAUUUAAAUUUAUAUGGGAUAUUUAUUCUGUAAAUUAACAACAUGGUGAUUAUCUGAUAAUUAACUUGAGAGUCAAUGGCAUGAGAGGUUGAGAUUUAUUCCUAAUCUAUCUUUUGUGCACCUCUAUUUGUGGCCUAAGGACAUUUUUAAGACGGGAUAGGUUCUUAAUAUCUUGCAUGCUAAUUUACUUUUAUUGUGAAUGUGUGCUAGCAAACAAUUGUUUUUAGUUUAAGCUAUUUGAGACUGCUUUGUGCAUCUUUUUUUUCCUUCUGUUGUGACUUUAUGUUCAGCCAAAUUACUAGGACAAAUAAGGUCUGACUCAGUUUUAUUCCUGUUUACUGUACUUGGUACAGGUGAAGAUUUUGCAUAGCUAAGCUGUGGCUGCUUCUCUUCAGAAACUUUCUAUCUUCUUACUGUUUUUUAUUUCUGACCAACUUCUGACUUAUUUAUUUGGGGAGGUAUCCAUUUGUAGAUGCCCCAUUUAAGCAUUUCCCAGUGUCACUAUAGAGCCCUGCAUAGAGAAUUUAAGGUCACCGAUGACAGGGCUUUGGGACUGUCUUCAGAAGAACAAGCAGUCUUCAUGGAAAUUUGCCUAGAUUGUGUCCCUUCCUCUGUUCAUCUCUGCCGGUCCCAGCCAAAACAAGCUCUCAAGGCAUUUCAACAAUCCAUCUUAAUAUAACGUUCAGCACAGAGACUGUUGACCUACUGUUGAGCCAACGUGAAUGGUCUCCCUCCUGUGUGACCCUUCAGCCCCUCCAAGGCUGUCCCUGUGUUGGGCUUUACAUGUACCAAGCUGGAGGUAGUCACAAUGUCGAGGCUCCUGCUGGAGCCCAGGUCUUCAGCAGGGGAAUCAUCUCCAGCUGAAACUGUCCCUUGUCCCUGUUGGACUGGAGUUUUCUCUUACUGCUGGAAAGUAUUCAUUUUCAGAACUUUCUCUGAUGUGGAGAUGAAAGAUGCACAUCGUCUCCCAGAGGUUCAGCUGUUUCUUGGUAAUUCCUGAAAUCCACACUCAUUUUGCAGUCUUCCUCGCCUCCUCUGUGCUUUGGGACAGAUUUUUUUUGUUUGCCCAUGCCUGCCAUUCUGUCAUCUGAAGUGCACGUCAGAGAUGGCAGCAGUUAUAGCUCGUUUUGCAGUGGUUCUCAACUCCAAGCCUUCCAGGGACUGUGAAAAAUAUGCCAUCAAAGGAAAUCAUGAUCUUCCACAAGCCCAGCUAGGGGAAAUGCAGGUGCCUCAUGGACACUCUUUCCUCUCGAAUGCUUUCAGAUAACGAGGAGACCCAUGACCUGUGUAGAGUCCAAAGUGAUGGAUAGAUUUGCACAAAAGUAGAAAAAGUUGUUGCCUUUUUGCUGCCUCCUCAGAUCCGGAGGGUCUCCAUUUCCACGUUGCACUGACAUAUGAACAAGAAAGUGCUGCCUGAACAUAGGGUGUUCAGUGAGGUCCUAGUCCUCACUGGUUAGGGACUAAGAGGGCAGGUCCUUCUCCCCCAGGCCCCACUGGGGUCAGGCUGACUCCCUGGAGACCGAAGUAGAGAGGGGAGCUGUGCUUCCAUGUGCCAUUGGCGAUGGCUAACCAGUGCAGAAGUCAACUCUGCUUGGCUUCUGUUAGGCUUGCCUAGGUUCCCCCAGAGGUGCCUUGUGCCCGUGAAUCCAGCCAUGGUGCCAGGAACAUCCUCAUCCCCACAUAUGGCUCCAUCAGGUCAUGCACGUGGCCCACCACUGCUGACUCCUCAGUUGGGCACGUUUUCCUUCUGAGCCUGCAAAGCCUGCUGUUGGUGUGCCAAACUGAAGGCACGGAAAUAAAUAGGAAUUUAUUUUUAACCCAGUGUGAGAUCUCUCAUUCUUAGCUUUUCUUUUUUUUUUUUUUUUCUUUUUUUCCCUCCCCAUAAUUGGUUCUGUUUUUGCUAACGGUUUGGAAUUUAGCAGCUAUUCCUGCCUGAGAGUGUUACUUUGUUAGCUGGUAUUAGAGAAGGAGAUUAAGGCUGUUGUUAGCAGUGGAGGCUGCAGGACAUAUGGGUAAUGCAAACCUGCUAGUGACAAAGUUGUUUUGAGGCAGUGGGACAGAUUGCCUGGCUUAGCAGCAGUGAAAUGGUGAUGAGGUAAGUAGUGCUGGGAAAAUCCUAUUAGGGAAGGAGAACAGCGCACUGGAACCGAGCAAUCACAAGGUGCAUGGUACCAAAUGUGUUGUUUCUCUAAGAAAUCAAAUUCACGUUAGUUGCCCAGUGGGGACUCAUCUGUCUCCAAACUGCACUUGCUCUGUGAGCAGGCUCACAGGCUGCUCUGAACAUCCCAGCUUUUAGUAACGGCUGAAGACCAAAAGACGAUGACUCUAGGCCUUCCAGGCAGUCAGCUCUGAUUUCGGUCAGAUGUUUCCUCCUCCAUCCCAUCGCAAGACGUGGAGCAGGAUGAAGGACAGAGAGAUCUAGAACAGCAUCCUGGAUCUGAUCCUUGUUGCUGCGAUGGAGGUUAGAGCAGGAGGGCAGUGAUUUCCUUAAUGCAUACGGGGCAGCAGGAAUGCACGUGCACCUAAAGGUUUGGCUAAAUACCACUGGCUCUCAAAGGUUUCAAUCUAUUGUCCCCUAUUGGGAGUGUUCCGCAGCACUGUUCCUAAAGCAUUUCCUGGGCUCUCUUUGGCCGGUAGGUGUUUUUCUGUGGGUUUGGUUUUGUGUUGUUUUGUAGGGUUGUUUUUUUUGCCUGUUGCUCUACAGUAAGUAGAUUAGCCACGAUUUAUUUGAGACAGGACUGCGGCUGGUGAUUUGUGCGUCGUUGUGGGUGUAGGAGCUGCAUGAUCUCAUCAUGAAAGGUGACUGCUGUGCAGCACGAGGGACGAGGGGACAGGUUAGGAUAAAUGACACGGGGGAGUCUGGGUCCACCAGUGGGCUGCAGGCCUGCCAGCUGGCGGGGGAUGCAGGUGGGAUGAUCUGCACUUCUAAAUACAGCCUCUCCCUGCACCCUCAUGAUUAAGGGCAGCUCUGUGGCAGACAUGUCUCUAUUUUUAUUCUGUUUUUAUUUUUUUUUUUCAGGAGGAGAUGGGGGACAAACAAGGGAACCAAUCUUCCUGCAGAAGAAAGGAAGACCCAAGGGGCCGACCAGCAGAGGCAGCACUUCUGCCACCAAGGACAAGGGCUGCUUGGGCAUCGCAGGAUCACCAAGGUUGGAAGAGACCACUAAGAUCAUCUAGGCCAACGCCCGACCCAGCAUGGGAUGGUGCUGUCGUGAUCCUUCUGGUGGCUCUGGAGGUGCCUGCUCAGAUCUUCCUCCUGUCUUGACAAAGACGAGAUAGCAUCAGAGAUUGAGGAGCUGGAAGAAGUGGAUCAUGCAAGGUGAGCUGCAUGAGAAAGAAGCAAAAGAGGCUCUCCUGCCCCUGGCCGUGCAGGCUUUGGGAUGGGAAAGGGCUCCCUUCUCCCCACGGUGACUCACCUCCAGAUUACACCAGGACUGCUGAACCUGACACUUCAUGGGCAGCAAUUUGCGCAUUGCAACGAGGAAAUUAAGCCAAAGCAGAGCGCCUACCUCAUGCAAACGUGACCUCUGUGCCCAGCAGCCAUUUGACACUCUCCAUUAAACAACUCUACCUGCAAUUAAAAUCAUCCAAAGCGAGACUUUGAACUGCUGGGCCUUAGGAUUACAGCUCCAGAGGGACCAGUAAACGCAAGAUACGUAUGUUUCUCUCCUCCUGCUUUCUUCUGUGCCUCUCCUCUAAAGAAGAGUUCUGAAGGAGUCUGAAGGAAAGAACAAGAGCCUGGAGCUGGGUAUAGAAUGACAGAAUCAUAGGUGCUGUAAGUAUAUUCUACAUGGUCAUCGUUGGGCGGUAAUGGCUUCUCCCCAUCCUGGGGCACAACUAGCUCUUGCUUUCUCUGCUUUUGCUGAUAGAUGCACCUAUCUGGCACAGCUCCAGUGCCUUCUGGCACACAGGAGAUGUCAAGGGAUGCUACAGGACUCGAAGUCCAUCCAAAGUGAUACCGCUCGUGUUCCUGUAUGUUGCUGACAGCAAACCCUUGCCUUGGCCGAGCUACUGUUAUACAGGACUUUUUAAGGAAUGAUAGAUGGGAUGGAUUGCUGACGCUUCUUAAAAAUGGCCAGUUUUACAUACAGGUCCAGCUUUCUGCCUUUUAUGGAUAGCAUUUCACUUUUAUGAAUUGAAUUAGGGAUUUCAUUUUGCCUUCCCUUCACGUAAUUCCUGUUUAUUAUACAACCUCUCCUUAUUGAUGCAGUAUCUUUAACAAUAAAUGAUGCAUGAGCGAUCUGAACAGUUACUGGAAAGUGUCCCUGGGUGAGCUCUCAGGAGGACCACUUGCCUCACUAAUGGAGGAAAACUCUAACGUGCCCAUUCACAUACGGUAGGCUGACAUCCACAGGUAAAAGCACGGUGCCCACAGACAGGCUCAUUGCUACUGGUGUGGUCCCAGCCAUGCAGAUGGCAGCUGGGUGACAUUUCCUACUCAGCCACUGACAUACAUACCGGGAUGGGACAGAGGUGCUGGACUGCAGGGGAGCACAGUUAGCAUGCCGUGAGGGCAUCCAACAUGAGUACAGCACAACGCCACUGGAGGUGACAAAAUGAAGCCAUGACAGUAAUGUGCUCAUCCAGAAGGGAAGAGGCAAGCAGGGAUUUCUGAUGGGCUGGACGGUGUGCUCUUUCUUCCAGGAGAGUGUCAACACUGCCUCUAAGGCUGGAAAACCCAGAGGCUGGUGAAGAGAGGCAGCAAAGUGUUGGUGGCACUGGAAAUUCUCCAUUAAGGAGGAGAAACAUUGAUUGGAAAGAAAGAGGGAAAGAAAAAAACAAAACAGAGCAAGUUUGAGACUGUGGUGGAGGGGGUGCUUGGCAGAUAUGUUUGUUCCAUAUAGCAUGCCAUGCUCAUGGGGAG